rnacentral:rRNA from 1 species
AGACCAGACUCCUACGGGAGGCAGCAGUGGGGAAUAUUGCACAAUGGGGGGAACCCUGAUGCAGCGACGCCGCGUGGGUGAAGGAGCACCUCGGUGCGUAAAGCCCUAUCGGCAGGGAAGAAACAGACGGUACCUGACUAAGAAGCCCCGGCUAACUACGUGCCAGCAGCCGCGGUAAUACGUAGGGGGCAAGCGUUAUCCGGAUUCACUGGGUGUAAAGGGAGCGUAGACGGCCAUGCAAGCCUGGAGUGAAAGCCCGGGGCCCAACCCCGGGACUGCUCUGGGAACUGUGCGGCUGGAGUGCGGGAGGGGCAGGCGGAAUUCCUGGUGUAGCGGUGAAAUGCGUAGAUAUCAGGAGGAACACCGGCGGCGAAGGCGGCCUGCUGGACCGCGACUGACGUUGAGGCUCGAAAGCGUGGGGAGCAAACAGGAUUAGAUACCCUCGUAA